UACGUAGGGUGCGAGCGUUAAUCGGAAUUACUGGGCGUAAAGGGUGCGCAGGCGGUUAUAUAAGACAGAUGUGAAAUCCCCGGGCUCAACCUGGGAACUGCGUUUGUGACUGUAUGACUAGAGUACGGUAGAGAGGGGUGGAAUUCCUGGUGUAGCAGUGAAAUGCGUAGAUAUCAGGAGGAACAUCGGUGGCGAAGGCAGCCCCUUGGACCUGUACUGACGCUCAUGCACGAAAGCGUGGGGAGCAAACAGG
rnacentral:rRNA from 1 species